UCUCUGAUAGUAUAUUGGCUAGUACACUCGCCUGUCAUGGUGAUCUAAUGGUCACAGCACGGGCGUGAGAUGCGCGGGAGAGCUGGGUUCAAUUCCCAGUCAGAGAG